rnacentral:rRNA from 1 species
UCUGGCGUUUUUUUUAGGCGUCCGAGUUGUAAUUUGGAGGAGCAUCUUCGGGAUCUGAACGUCGUUCUAAGUUCUUUUGGAACUGGACAUCAUAGAGGGUGAGAAUCCCGUGCUGGACGACUGUUUGUUCCCAUGUGAAGUGCUUCCAACGAGUCGAGUUGUUUGGGAAUGCAGCUCAAAAUGGGUGGUAAAUUUCAUCUAAAGCUAAAUACUGGCGAGAGACCGAUAGCGCACAAGUAGAGUGAUCGAAAGAUGAAAAGCACUUUGAAAAGAGAGUUAAACAGUACGUGAAAUUGUUGAAAGGGAAGCGCUUGAGAUCAAUCUUGGUUUUUUUGGUGUAACCUGUGCCAGGGCUUUAAAACCUUGGUAUAGAUCACGUUGCAUCAAGCCAGGCCAGCAUCGGUUUUGAUAGUGGGAAAAAAUGGUUAGGGAAUGUGGCUCUUGUUUACAAGAGUGUUAUAGCCCAGACUGUUGAUACCAUUAAUUGAGACCGAGGAAGGCGCCUCUUUUACGGGGCUAGGAUGUUGGCAUAAUGGUCUUCAGCGACCCGUCUUGAAACACGGACCAAGGAGUCUAACAUCUAUGCGAGUGUUCGAGUGAAAAACUCUUACGCACAAUGAAAGUGAACGGAGAUGGGAACUGGUAAAACAG